rnacentral:lncRNA from 1 species
CCUGCAGCCACUGGUUCUGUGCCUGCAGCUUCGUCAGCAGGCUGGCAUUUGUGGUUGGGUCAGGGGUGGUUAUUGCAUCUAGAUUCUUUGCCUGAAGGAAAAUGAAAGUAAAAAGGAUUGUUUAAAUGUUGAAUAAAUCCUUUGCAGUGGAGGGAUGCUCUGGGCUAUGGGAUGAUGUUCAAAUGUGAAAUGUGGGGUGAAUGAGAUUAACUGGGGUGCCUGCUCUGAGUAGGACCCUUCCAUAGCAACAAACUUCUUUUUUUUUUUUUUGAGUCAAGGUCUCGUUCUGUCACCCAGGCUGGAGUGCAGUGGUGCACAGCAACCUCUGCCUCCUGGGUUCAAGUGAUUCAUGUGCCUCAGCCUCCUGAGUAGCUGGGUUACAGGUGUAUGCCACCAUGCCUGGCUAACUUUUUUGUAUUUUUAAGUAGAGAUGGGGUUUUACCAUGUUGACCAGGCUGGUCUUAAACUCCUGGCCUCAAAUGAUCCACCCACCUCAGCCUCCCAUAGCGCUGGGAUUAUAUCAGCACUGUGCCUGGCUCACAGCAACCAACUUCUAAUCAUCCCUUUGCUGUUCUGUCUCCCAUUAGACCACAAGCAUCCUGAGGGAAGCACCACUAUCAUUUUUGUUUGUUUGGUUUUGGUUUUUUGUAGAGAUGGGGUCUUGCUAUGUUAUCCAGGCUGGUCUUGAACUCCUGGCCUUAGGAGUUCAAGGAGUUCUCACCUUAGGCUCCCAAAGUUUAGGGAAUACAGGCAUGAGCCACCAAGCCUGACCAGCAUCACUAUCUUAUUUGUUUGUAUUCUGUCAUAUGAAAUAAUGCCUGGCACAUAGUUCAUAUUUAGUAUAUGAAUGAAGAGCCCAUACUUAAAGGCAUUUUAAUAUGGGUUCUUCAGUGGCCUCUAAAUCUGAUACUUUUCUCCAGUUUCCCUCUCACCAUCCCUUUAGGAUCUGUUGAAAGACCACUGAUCCGGUGGUGUAAAGAGGACUGGGAAACACCUUUCCAUAGACCCACCAUAUGGGAUAAGUAACUUGUGGAAGGCCUUAAACCUCCAAGUGUGGUCCUGGAAUUCUGCAGCAUCACCAGGGAUAUAAGCCUGGUAGAAAUUUGACCCUCAAACCCACCCGAGGCUUGCUAAGUCAG